GUGGGGAAUCUUCCGCAAUGGACGAAAGUCUGACGGAGCAACGCCGCGUGAGUGAUGAAGGUCUUCGGAUUGUAAAGCUCUGUUAAUCGGGACGAAAGAGCCUAGUGUGAAUAAUGCUAGGAAGUGACGGUACCGGAAUAGAAAGCCACGGCUAACUACGUGCCAGCAGCCGCGGUAAUACGUAGGUGGCAAGCGUUGUCCGGAAUUAUUGGGCGUAAAGCGCGCGCAGGCGGAUCUGCCAGUCUGUCUUAAAAGUUCGGGGCUUAACCCCGUGAUGGGAUGGAAACUACAGAUCUAGAGUAUCGGAGAGGAAAGUGGAAUUCCUAGUGUAGCGGUGAAAUGCGUAGAUAUUAGGAAGAACACCAGUGGCGAAGGCGGCUUACUGGACUGUAACUGACGUUGAGGCUCGAAAGCGUGGGGAGCAAACAGGAUUAGAUACCCCGGUAGUCC
rnacentral:rRNA from 1 species